rnacentral:rRNA from 1 species
GCUGGAAUCGCUAGUAAUCGCGAAUCAGAAUGUCGCGGUGAAUACGUUCCCGGGUCUUGUACACACCGCCCGUCACACCAUGGGAGUCGGAAAUGCCCGAAGUCGGUGACCUAACUGAAAGGAAGGAGCCGCCGAAGGCAGGUCUGGUGACUGGGGUGAAGUCGUAACAAGGUAAC